rnacentral:rRNA from 1 species
UGACGACUAGUUGUUGGAGGAGUUAAAUCCUUUAGUAACGCAGCUAACGCGCGAAGUCGUCCGCCUGGGGGAGUACGGUCGCAAGAUUAAAACUCAAAGGAAUUGAC